GACGAACCGUGCGAACGUUGUUCGGAAUCACUGGGCUUAAAGGGCGCGUAGGCGGCUUGUCAAGUCCGGGGUGAAAGCCCCCAGCUUAACUGGGGAAGUGCCUUAGAUACUGACAAGCUCGAGGGAGGUAGGGGCAGAUGGAACUUCCGGUGGAGCGGUGAAAUGCGUUGAUAUCGGAAGGAACGCCGGUGGCGAAAGCGAUCUGCUGGACCUCUUCUGACGCUGAGGCGCGAAAGCUAGGGUAGCGAACGGG
rnacentral:rRNA from 1 species